rnacentral:rRNA from 1 species
UUGACCUCGAAUCAGGUAGGAAUACCCGCUGAACUUAAGCAUAUCAAUAAGCGGAGGANNNNNNNNNNNNNNNNNNNNNNNNNNGUAACGGCGAGUGAAGCGGUAACAGCUCAAAUUUGAAAUCUGGCUCCUUCGGAGUCCGAGUUGUAAUUUGUAGAAGAUGCUUUAGGUUGUGGGCUUGGCCUAAGUUCCUUGGAACAGGACGUCAUAGAGGGUGAGAAUCCCGUAUGUAGCCAUGGCCCGCGCCUAUGUAAAGCUCUUUCGACGAGUCGAGUUGUUUGGGAAUGCAGCUCAAAAUGGGUGGUAAAUUUCAUCUAAAGCUAAAUAUGGGCCAGAGACCGAUAGCGCACAAGUAGAGUGAUCGAAAGAUGAAAAGCACUUUGGAAAGAGAGUUAAACAGUACGUGAAAUUGUUGAAAGGGAAGCGCUUGCAACCAGACUUGGGCGCUGCCGAUCACCCCGAGUUCUCUCGGGUGCACUCGACAGCGCACAGGCCAGCAUCGGUUCGGGUGGCUGGAUAAAGGCCGUAGGAAUGUAGCUCUCUUCGGGGAGUGUUAUAGCCCACGGUGCCAUGCAGCCCAGCCGGACCGAGGACCGCGCCUUCGGGCUAGGAUGCUGGCGUAAUGGUUGUAAGCGACCCGUCUUGAAACACGGACCAAGGAGUCUAACAUCUAUGCGAGUGUUUGGGCGUUAAACCCAUACGCGGAAUGAAAGUGAACGUAGGUGAGAACCCCUUUGGGGCGCAUCAUCGACCGAUCCUGAGUCUUCGGAU